rnacentral:rRNA from 1 species
GAACGAACGCUGGGCGGCGUGCUUAAUACAUGCAAGUCUAACGAGAAAUUCCGGCUUCGGUUGGAAAAGUAAAGUGGCGAACGGGUGAGUAACACGUGGAUAAUCUACCCUUUAAAUCUGGGAUAAUCCUUCGAAAGGAGGUCUAAUACCGGAUGAUACCAUUUAGCGGCAUCGCUUUAUGGUCAAAGACGGGGCAACCUGCCGUUUAGGGAUGAGUCCGCGUUCCAUUAGCUUGUUGGUGAGGUAACGGCUCACCAAGGCUGCGAUGGAUAGCUGGCCUGAGAGGGUGAACGGCCACACUGGGACUGAGAUACGGCCCAGACUCCUACGGGAGGCAGCAGUAGGGAAUAUUGCGCAAUGGACGAAAGUCUGACGCAGCAACGCCGCGUGGGUGAUGAAGCAUCUUGGUGCGUAAAACCCUGUCAGUGGGGAAGAACCGUGCAGAUAGUAACUGCUCUGCACCUGACGGUACCCACAGAGGAAGUCCCGGCUAACUCCGUGCCAGCAGCCGCGGUAAUACGGGGGGGACAAGCGUUGUUCGGAUUUACUGGGCGUAAAGGGCGCGUAGGUGGACCUUCAAGUCGGUUGUGAAAACUGGUGGCUUAACUGCCAGCCUGCACUCGAAACUGUCGGUCUUGAGUACAUGAGAGGAAAGCGGAAUUCCGUGUGUAGCGGUGAAAUGCGUAGAUAUCUGGAAGAACACCAGUAGCGAAGGCGGCUUUCUGGCGUGAUACUGACACUGAAUCGCGGAAGGCUAAGGGGAGCAA